GACGAACGCUGGCGGCGUGCCUAAUACAUGCAAGUAGAACGCACAGUUUAUACCGUAGCUUGCUACACCAUAGACUGUGAGUUGCGAACGGGUGAGUAACGCGUAGGUAACCUGCCUGGUAGCGGGGGAUAACUAUUGGAAACGAUAGCUAAUACCGCAUAAUAUUAAUUAUUGCAUGAUAAUUAAUUGAAAGGUGCAAUUGCACCACUACCAGAUGGACCUGCGUUGUAUUAGCUAGUAGGUGAGGUAACGGCUCACCUAGGCGACGAUACAUAGCCGACCUGAGAGGGUGAGAGGCCACACUGGGACGGAGACACGGCCCAGACGCCUACGGGAGGCAGCAGUAGGGAAACGUCGGCAAGGGGUGGAAGACUGAGCGAGAAACGCCGAGGGAGGGAAGAAGGAUUUCGGGUCGGAAAGCUCUGUUGUAAGAGAAGAACGGGUGUGAGAGUGGAAAGUUCACACUGUGACGGUAACUUACCAGAAAGGGACGGCUAACUACGUG
rnacentral:rRNA from 1 species